GCCUUCCUAGCCCCAUCUUCUAACCUGCUAGGGUUUUCUCACAUGGGUUCUUCUUUGAGGGCUCUCUGGCUUCCCUACUGAGCUGUAGCUGCCAAAGUUGAAGGGCAGCGUCUCCCCUGCGUCUCCCCAGCCUUUACAGCUCCUGAAACACACUAAGGUUCUGAGUUCUCUGUUGCUGUGGGACCCGAAAAAAGCCAGUCAGUAACUAUGAACUUCUAUUUCCUCACUUAAAAACCAUAGAAAACCAUCCGAGAAGAGGACGAGUGAAGUGCCUGGCAAGAGGGACAGAGUUGAGCACGUCGGGUCAUCAAACUGAGAUCCUGAGGACCGAACUGGAGGGAGCGCUUUGUGUGAGAUAUUGAAAGCAUCCUUAGGAAUUAUGGUUAGAACCCAGAACCCACAGUGAUGAUAAU
rnacentral:lncRNA from 1 species